GGACUACAGGGGUAUCUAAUCCUGUUUGCUCCCCACGCUUUCGUGCCUGAACGUCGGUACUGGACCAGGAAGCCGCUUUCGCCACUGGUGUUCCUUCAGAUAUCUACGCAUUUCACCGCUACACCUGAAAUUCCGCUUCCCUCUUCCGUACCCUAGCUAUCCAGUAUCGAAUGCAAUUCCCAGGUUGAGCCCGGGGCUUUCACACCCGACUUACAUAACCGUCUACGCACGCUUUACGCCCAGUAAUUCCGAUUAACGCUUGCACCCUCUGUAUUACCGCGGCUGCUGGCAC
rnacentral:rRNA from 1 species